rnacentral:rRNA from 1 species
GAUGGGACUGCGGCCUAUCAGUUUGUUGGUGAGGUAAUGGCCCACCAAGACUAUUACAGGUACGGGCUCUGAGAGGAGUAGCCCGGAGAUGGGUACUGAGACACGGACCCAGGCCCUAUGGGGCGCAGCAGGCGAGAAAACUUUGCAAUGUGCUAAAGCACGACAAGGUUAAUCCGAGUGGUUUCUGCUAAAGGAACCUUUUGUCAGUCCUAGAAACACUGAUGAAUAAGGGGUGGGCAAGUUCUGGUGUCAGCCGCCGCGGUAAAACCAGCACCUCAAGUGGUCAGGAUGAUUAUUGGGCCUAAAGCAUCCGUAGCCGGCUCUGUAAGUUUUCGGUUAAAUCUGUACGCUCAACGUACAGGCUGCCGGGAAUACUGCAGAGCUAGGGAGUGGGAGAGGUAGACGGUACUCGGUAGGAAGGGGUAAAAUCCUUUGAUCUAUUGAUGACCACCUGUGGCGAAGGCGGUCUACCAGAACACGUCCGACGGUGAGGGAUGAAAGCUGGGGGAGCAAACCGGAUUAGAUACCCGGGUAGUCCCAGCUGUAAACUAUGCAAACUCAGUGAUGCAUUGGCUUGUGGCCAAUGCAGUGCUGCAGGGAAGCCGUUAAGUUUGCCGCCUGGGAAGUACGUACGCAAGUAUGAAACUUAAAGGAAUUGGCGGGGGAGCACCACAAGGGGUGAAGCCUGCGGUUCAAUUGGAGUCAACGCCGGA